ACGGGUGAGUAACGCGUGGGAAUGUACCAUAUGGUUCGGAAUAACUAAGGGAAACUUUAGCUAAUACCGGAUAAGCCCUUCGGGGGAAAGAUUUAUCGCCAAAUGAACAGCCCGCGUUAGAUUAGGUAGUUGGUGGGGUAAAGGCUCACCAAGCCGACGAUCUAUAGCUGGUCUGAGAGGAUGAUCAGCCACACUGGGACUGAGACACGGCCCAGACUCCUACGGGAGGCAGCAGUGGGGAAUAUUGGACAAUGGGGGAAACCCUGAUCCAGCAAUGCCGCGUGAGUGAAGAAGGCCUUCGGGUUGUAAAGCUCUUUUGUCAGGGAAGAUAAUGACGGUACCUGACGAAUAAGCUCCGGCUAACUUCGUGCCAGCAGCCGCGGUAAUACGAAGGGAGCUAGCGUUGUUCGGAAUUACUGGGCGUAAAGGGCGCGUAGGCGGCCGCGUAAGUCAGAUGUGAAAGCCCCGGGCUUAACCUGGGAACUGCAUUUGAUACUGCGUGGCUAGAGGAUGAGAGAGGAAAGUGGAAUUACGAGUGUAGAGGUGAAAUUCGUAGA
rnacentral:rRNA from 1 species